GCUGCCCAACAGAAAAUAACUUCAAAGUUCCUAGUGGAUCCUUUGUGAGUAUAGCAGGUACUCAGGUACCAAAAAAGUAGGAGGAGGAAAGUCCCUUAGGCACUCAAUUUUUCAAGAAUUGUGUACAUCUUAAGAAUCUACUCAAUUAUGAAAACUU